ACUAUUUUGGCAGAUAAGUGCAAUAAAUUUAGAAUUUAUUAAUGUAAAGUAUAUUUUAUAGAUAGUA
rnacentral:tRNA from 1 species